rnacentral:rRNA from 1 species
UAGGGAAUCUUCCACAAUGGGCGAAAGCCUGAUGGAGCAACGCCGCGUGUGUGAUGAAGGGUUUCGGCUCGUAAAACAUUGUUGUAAGAGAAGAAUGACAUUGAGAGUAACUGUUCAAUGUGUGACGGUAUCUUACCAGAAAGGAACGGCUAAAUACGUGCCCG